GUCGACGGUCAUGCUACCCUGAAUGUGCCCAAUCUCGUCUGAUCUUGGAAGCUAAGCAGGGUCGGGCCUGGUUAGUACUUGGAUGGGAGACCACCUUGGAAUACCAGGUGCUGUAGACA
rnacentral:rRNA from 1 species